CAUGGCAUUGCAAUGAAAGAUUCAUCGGUGGCGGAUAGGCUCGCGGGACAUUAGCUAGACGGCGGGGCAACGGCCCACCGUGGCGACGAUGUCUAGGGGUUCUGAGAGGAAGACCCCCCACACUGGGACUGAGACACGGCCCAGACUCCUACGGGAGGCAGCAGUGAGGAAUAUUGGUCAAUGGGCGGAAGCCUGAACCAGCCAUGCCGCGUGAAGGACUAAGGCCCUACGGGUCGUAAACUUCUUUAGACGCAGAGCAAUAAGGUCCACGUGUGGACCGAUGAGAGUAUGCGUAGAAUAAGCAUCGGCUAACUCCGUGCCAGCAGCCGCGGUAAUACGGGGGAUGCGAGCGUUAUCCGGAUUCAUUGGGUUUAAAGGGUGCGUAGGCGGCCGAGUAAGUCAGCGGUGAAAGACCGGGGCUCAACCCUGGAAGUGCCGUUGAUACUGUUUGGCUGGAAUGAUCCCGCCGCGGGAGGAAUGAGUGGUGUAGCGGUGAAAUGCAUAGAUAUCACUCAGAACACCGAUUGCGAAGGCAUCUCGCGAGGGGUCAAUUGACGCUGAGGCACGAAAGCGUGGGGAUCGAACAGGAUUAGAUACCCUGGUAGUCCACGCAGUAAACGAUGAUGGCUAACUGUCGGGCCUGCGGGUUCGGCGGCCAAG
rnacentral:rRNA from 1 species